UAUUUGGGAAGGAAAACGAAUGGUGACGUUUUUAGAUCCAUAGAUCUGUGUUAAAAAUAGAUAAGUGAUAUGGGGAGAAAAAUGGUUACUUCCUGUGCCGUGGGGUUUAGAGGGUCACACACACGGUUCUUUCACUGCUGCAUAAAAGAUCACGCACUGCAAUAAUGACUUUAAAAGCAGUUCACGCGACGGGAAACCUCUCGGAUGAAUGAAUGACUUGCUGUUCUCCUUCACGCGGUCACAGCAGGGUUCCGACGAACCGCACUGAUGUGAACAAUAUGAUGGACUCUAAGCUCGUCACUGCCCAAGGUGGAGAUGUCUGCAGGCCCAGCAGGGGUGAGAUAAGGUUAUCCUUCAGGAAUGCAGAGCUGCUCGUAUGGAGUGAGUACACUCCCAUACAGAAGCACCAUGUUAGAAAACCCCAAUGGAAUACAUGUCUUACAUGGAUAGGAUCAACAUCAAUGAUUUUAUUCAUGCACAUUUUCCUGUCGUAUUAUCAAAAUGAUCGGAUAAACAACCACAGUAAAAUGCGGCUUAUUAUUUUCUUUCCAAUGGAACCAAGACUAAAAUGCAAAUUAAUCAAAUCCAAUAUCAGAUUUUGAGGUGAAAACAAGAAGCUGUUUUCCACCACAAAAUCGCCCCACCCCCCUUCCCCCUUAUCUGCUAUUUUGGCGGGCAAGGAGACGACAGAUGCUUUCUUCAGCGGUUCAAAGUUUGGAUCAGUUAUGGAGCAGCUUGGCUCGUGUGGGAGCUCAUUUAAGAACAGAGGACUGGAUGACUGAGUUCCUCUCUCACUCCGUCAGUGCAGGGCUUCGCAGAUUCUCGAUCCAAAGGGGAUUGCAGGACCAUGCACAUGCAGCAGCCAUGUGUCACUGGUGCCAGAGCCAUAGGAGGCACCUCACCGCCGUUCAGGCAAGUGUCCUCCACCCACCCGAUCGCAGCUCUGAACCUGGGAACACCGGAAAGAAGAAAGGCCAGCCUCUGCAGGCAGAUGGCGCUGUUGCUCCAGAGCGUCUCUGCUUCAGAGUCUUCUGACCGCGCUGUAAUGCAGGGGAAGCUUGUGUUCCACCACAGUGAGGUAUUGCUUCCAGGUCGAUCGCACACAGCUCCACGUCACUCCGAUGAUAUUGAUCCACGGUAAAAGGACAUAAGAAGGGAACGCUUUCUCUGUGUGUGUGUGUGUGUGUGUGUGUGUGUGUGUGUGUGUGUGUGUGUGUGUGUGUGUGUGUGUGUGUGUGUGUGUGUGUGCGCGCGCGCGCUCGAGUGAUGUGUGAUGUGUGAUGCGUGUGCGCGCACGCGCGAGUGAUGUGUGAUGCGUUUGUCUGAGAUACAUUGAUGUGUUUUUCAUUUCUGAAUUAUAUUAUCUGGAUACAUUUUGGCUAAAUAUAACAGAAAUAACAGAAAAAAUACAGCAAACCACAACAGAUUUUUCUGGACCAGAUAUCACCAGUGAUGAGGUUUCCCUCCACACACCAAUGGAGUACUUUUAUAAGUUUGUGUCAGAAGACAUGAUUCAGGAACUGAUGAAAUCCACAAAUGAGUACAACUCUCAGAAGAAUUGCACAUCUGUAAAUAAUGAUACAAGUGAUAUUCAGAAAGUGAUUGGCAGGUGUCUGAAGAUGGGCCUAGUGCAGAUGGCUGGAGUCCGUAUGUAUUAGGAGACAGACACACAGUACCCCCAUGUUUCUGAUCUGAUGUCAUGCAACAGAUUCCAAUCUCUGUUGACAUCAUUACAUGUUGUAAACAACUUGAAAGUGUCGGAGACGGAAAAGAAAGACAAACUCCUGGAAACUCAGACCAUGGCUUGAUUCAUUCAGAGAGUAAUGCCUGCAGGUGGUACCGGAAGAGCGCAACUCUGAGGAUAAGAUGAUUCAUUUCAAAGAGAAAUUCAUUCGCUUACAACAUAUACAUGGGAGGUGUGGAUUUGUUGGACUCAUUUGCACCGCUGGGAUGUCUACAUCUUCUGGCACGCGAUUAUCCUCGCUGUGACCAAAGCCUGGCUCCUCUACAAGCGGGAAUGCAAUGCUCACAAGUUGCCUGUGAAAGACAUAAUGAAGAAGAGACUGUAUCAGGCCCUACUAGCAUCUUCUCUCAUCCUGGUGAACACAACUCUCAGCACACCAAAGACGGGGCAACCAUCUUCAGGCAAUUGGAGCCCAGCAAUACAGAAUGUAACAUCAAGGAGCCCUCUGAAUGCACUGAAGAGACCAACCCCAGGUGGGGAGUCACUAAACGGGGUCCCAACCAAGAGGCUGUACAUCCCCCAGCACGCACUGACCUAUUCGCACAUAUGCAAGUGAAAAUCAACAGAGGAUGUGGCAGAUAUUGCACUAAUGGAUUCAAAACCACCAUAUGUAGCAAGUGUCAUGUUCGUCUUUGCUUUUCAGAGGAAAAAACUGUUUCUGGGACUACCAUAGCAAAUAAACAUGGCUGAACUCUGGGAAUGAGACGAUAUUCAGUUUUGUAUUUUUAUUUCAUAUAUUAUUUUUUUUAUUCAAAAAUGACUCCAUAAAAAAUAUGACUGUUGUGUGAUUUUUAUUCUUGAUGUAUCCUGCUAUGAGUCUAAAUAAGCAGUCAACCCCGCAACUGAUCCACUAGUUGUUCUGUAUAUUUGUAUAGUACAAAUACAGAAAUUCUGCUCCCAGCUAGGGCCAACGUUGCAAAAUUAAUAAAAUUUCCUAAAAACUUACUUAAAUAUAAGAUAAUUUCUUCAUCAGAGGCCUCAUACAACAACAUUUGAAAGGUAAAAAAAAUAUGUGAGCCAAAUGGUUUGGAAAUCUGGACUAUUUCUGUGAUGAACCACCAGGGGGCAACCUAAUACCACAAUUAGUGGGAUCAGCUGAAGACUGACUUUAUGUUCUUACACCGUUGUGUAGACCACUUAUAAAAUACAUUCUAUCCAGACAUGAAAUUCCAAUGUUGCCACUUCAGGCAAUUACCACAUUAUAUAACGGCCAAUUGUUGCAUUCAUAAUGAUUUUUCUUUAAAUGUUGAUUGAGACUAAAGGCCUAAAAUAUAGUCAUAACAUUUCCUUAAACUUUGGACCAUGUGUCUGUACCCCUUUUUUAAAGAAAUGGAUCUACCGUCAUCUUUCAAAGCUAAUUACAGAUCAGCUCUAAACUGAUUACUUGUAAGAGACAUGACCUCACUGUAAAGAAGAAGACCAUAUUUACCUUGGUUUGUUGCAAGGUAGGCCUGAAGGGAGGUCCUUUUUCUGGGGAGAACCAGCAUGGGUUUGUUCAGUUCAGAAAGGGUAUCUUUAGAGAGGCUGAAUUCGUUUUCAAUACUUCAAUACUUGCAACAGCAGAAGGCAAACAGGUGUUUUAAAACAGUGUUUGUUUCUCUGUAAAGAACCAUACAAUCAUAACUCCUGUUUGAUGUUUUUGUUAAUCUAUGUAGGUUUUCUUCUUUCUUCUUCUGUAUUAUUAAAAUAAAUAAAGGUUUCAUUACAGUGGUUAUUGUGGGAGAUUGUGUCUUAUCUGGUUUAAUGAGGCAGAGGCACGUGCAAACGACAUUUCCCCCCAUCCAGAAAUGUGUGGAUCGUGAGGCAUGGAACUGGA